rnacentral:lncRNA from 10 species
AAAAAAAUACACAAGGGCCAAGAAUUCUCCUCACUGAACAUGUUAUUGGGGUCAUCGCUUCAUGGCAAUGUAUAGAGGUUGAUAUGGUUUGGCUGUGUCCCCACCCAAAUCUCAUCUGGAAUUGAAACUUCCAUAAUUUCCACAUGUCGUGGGAGGUGAUUGAAUUACGGGGACGGGUGUUUCCCAUGCUAUUCUCGUGACAGCGAAUGAGUCUCACAAGAUCUGAUGGUUUUAAAAAGGGGAGUUUCCCUGAACAAGCUCUCUUCUCUUGUCUGAUGCCAUGUGAGAUGUGCCUUUCACCUUCCACCAUGAUUGUGAGGCUUCCCCAGCCAUGUGGAACUGUAAGUCCAUUAUAUACCUCUUUUAUAAAUUGCCCAGUCUCAAAUCUGUCUUUAUCAGCAGCAUGAAAGCAGACUAAUACAGAGGUCGUCUUCUUGUUGUUUAUAGCUGCAUAGUAUUCCACUGAGUGGACCUUCCAUUGCCUUAUUCAACCAAUUUCCAAGCUUUUGCUAUUAUAAACAAUGCUGCAAUGUAUAGUCACAUAUAAAAGUAUUUGUGUAGUUUUACAACAUAUUUUUGGAUAGAUUCCUAGAAGUUGGAUUACUGGAUCAAAGGGAAAAUGCAUAUGUAAUUUUACUAGAUAUAUCAAAUUCCCAUUCAUGAGGCUUAUGCCAUUUUACAUUCCCACUAGCAAUGUAUGGAAGCAUCUAUUUCACCACAGCCUCACCAACAAAAUAUGCUGUCAAUCUUUUAGAUUUUUGUCAGCCUGACAGGAGAGAAUAUUGUAUCUCAAUGAAGUUUGAAAGUGUAUUCACUGAAAGUAUGGUUGAGAGUCUUUUCAUAUAUGCAGGAUCCAUUUUCCUUUCUUUUUCUGUGAACUCUCUGCUCAUAUUUCCAACCCAUUUUUCAUAGAUGUGUUGGCUUUUUUCUUCUAUAUUUUUUGAAGCUCUUUACAUAUUAUGGUUAUUAACUCUUUGUGCUAUAAGUUGCAAAUGUUUCUUCCCAGUUUCUAUAGCCUUUCAAAAUACAUAUAUUGUUAACCUCAGAUGAAGAAACUAAAGGAUAAAAGAUUUAAGGAUGCUUCCCAAGGCCAUGAAAUAAAAGCUACACACAUUUCAUUGAUAACAAAUUGUAGGUGCACAGUAGUUAAUGACAAGAGGUCCCUCUGCAGACUCUGUCUGGAUAGCAGUACAUUUAGACUCAGAGCUCCAGAGUCCAGAUCUACUGGAUAAUCUCAGGAAUGUCAACUCUAUGUGUGAGGCCGCUAUUUCCAUUUUUCUGAAAAACCAAGCAGAGCACCCUGUUUCCAUUUUUAUGGAGCUCAUUUGUUCAAUACCUUCAUUUGUUCUGGAAACCCUCCAUGUAUAUAGUGGAAGUCAGGCAAGGUCUCUCUGAGCGGGUGAUAUUUGAACUAAGACCUAAGACAAGCCGGCCAUUGUGAAGAUCUAUGGAAGAGAUUUCUGAGCAAGGCAAAUACCAAGAGCUGAGUCCCUCAGAGAGAAAAGACAUAAAAUGUUCCAGAGAGGAACAACUGGAAUACAAGGUGGAGCCCCGUGAAUAAUGGGGCACGUGAUGGUAGAUUAAGUUGACAGCAGAGGCUAGAUUACACAGACUGUUCUAGGUUGCGUUACAUGUUUUGGUUUUAACUAUCUUUUUCCUCUGGCUGAGUCCAAUUGUUUGUUUAUUUAUUUUUCCCAUGAGUUAAUUAUUUUUACUCUGUCUUCAGCUUCUACUACAGGAAAACUAGCUCUCACUCCCACCGUGUACUCCUGUUAAAAUUUGGAGAAAGCACUGUUCUUGUUCUCCCAGGACCUGGCAGCUCUUCUUCCUAGAGGAGAAAAGCAGAUAACAUACACAAGCACUUCAUUUAGCACAGUUACACAAGAGGCAAUUCAUUCUCUAUACAGAAAGGAAAUACGUGUUCACACAGGCCGACACACGCAACCUGGGCUUUGCCCAACACAGACCAGUGAUCAUCCCUUGUACAUUUGCAAGUUGCCUCUUACGCAAAGUUCAUCCAGGAAAACCUGUGGAACCUGGAGAGGGCAGUGAAGAGCUAAAUGAGUAAUUCUGAAAGAAAUUACACAACCUACCUGGAGUAUAAGAGAUCUACCACAGAAUUUUAAAUGCUGACUCUUUUUUAUUGGAUGCUUGUUUAAUUUGAGAUAUUAAAUAUUCUGCUUGAGAAAU